UACAGAGGGUGCGAGCGUUGUUCGGAAUUAUUGGGCGUAAAGCGCGUGUAGGCGGCCUGUGCAAGUCGGGUGUGAAAGCCCUCAGCUUAACUGAGGAAGUGCGCCCGAAACUGCAUGGCUUGAGUGCUGGAGAGGGUGGCGGAAUUCCCCAAGUAGAGGUGAAAUUCGUAGAUAUGGGGAGGAACACCGGUGGCGAAGGCGGCCACCUGGCCAGCAACUGACGCUGAGACGCGAAAGCGUGGGGAGCAAACAGG
rnacentral:rRNA from 1 species